GCGCAGCGCGGCGCAGAGCUCGGGGGUGAGGCUCGUCGUCGCGGUGGCGCCGUCGGGGACGUGCCCGGUGGCCUCCCUCGGUGAGCGCGGCGCAGAGGUCGGGGGUGAGCGGGACCGCCGGUGCCGGGGUGAGCGGGGGCGCGGCGUCGGGGUCGGGCUUGGGGAGGAGCAGUGGAGCGGGCGCCAUCGCCGAUCAAUCUCCGGUCGGAGGGGAGAGGGUUUUCUUGGCUCGCCGCUGGGAGGGAUUGAGUGGGGGUAUGGGAAUGGAAUGGAAACUGGGAAAGCGCUGCUGCUUUUUACGCGGGCGACUGUCGG
rnacentral:lncRNA from 1 species